GGAGAGAUGUCAGAGUGGUCUAUAGUGCACGACUCGAAAUCGUGUGUACUGUGAUGAGCAGUACCGUGGGUUCAAAUCCCACUCUCUCCG
rnacentral:tRNA from 1 species